UACGUAGGGACCAAGCGUUGUCCGGAAUCACUGGGCGUAAAGGGCGCGUAGGCGGCUCGGUAAGUAGGGGGUGAAAUCCUGCGGCUUAACCGCAGGGCUGCCUUCUAAACUGUCGAGCUUGAGCACGGUAGAGGCAGAUGGAAUUCCCGGUGUAGCGGUGGAAUGCGUAGAGAUCGGGAAGAACAUCAGUGGCGAAGGCGGUCUGCUGGGCCGUUGCUGACGCUGAGGCGCGACAGCGUGGGGAGCAAACAGG
rnacentral:rRNA from 1 species